rnacentral:rRNA from 1 species
CCUACGGGGGGCAGCAGUGAGGAAUAUUGGUCAAUGGACGAGAGUCUGAACCAGCCAAGUAGCGUGCAGGAUGACUGCCCUAUGGGUUGUAAACUGCUUUUAUAUGGGAAUAAAAUGUUCCACGUGUGGGAUUUUGUAUGUACCAUAUGAAUAAGGAUCGGCUAACUCCGUGCCAGCAGCCGCGGUAAUACGGAGGAUGCGAGCGUUAUCCGGAUUUAUUGGGUUUAAAGGGAGCGUAGGUGGAUUGUUAAGUCAGUUGUGAAAUUUUGCGGCUCAACCGUAAAAUUGCAGUUGAAACUGGCAGUCUUGAGUACAGUAGAGGUGGGCGGAAUUCGUGGUGUAGCGGUGAAAUGCUUAGAUAUCACGAAGAACUCCGAUUGCGAAGGCAGCUCACUGGACUGCAACUGACACUGAGGCUCGAAAGUGUGGGUAUCAAACAGGAUUAGAUACCCGAGUAGUC